GACGAACGCUGGCGGCGUGCUUAACACAUGCAAGUCGAACGGACAGGCCCUGCUUUUGUGGGGUGCUCGAGUGGCGAACGGGUGAGUAACACGUGAGUAACCUGCACUUGACUUUGGGAUAACUUCAGGAAACUGGGGAUAAUACCGGAUAGGAGCUCCUGCUGCAUGGUGGGGGUUGGAAAGUUUCGGCGGUUGGGGAUGGACUAGCGGCUUAUCAGCUUGUUGGUGGGGUAGUGGAUUACCAAGGCUUUGACGGGUAGCCGGCCUGAGAGGGUGGACGGCGACAAGGGGACUGAGAGAGGGCCCAGACGCGUACGGGAGGCAGCAGUGGGGAAUAUUGCACAGUGGGCGGAAGCCAGAUGCAGCAACGCCGCGUGCGUGAUGACGGCCUUCGGGUUGUAAACCGCUGUCGCCUGUGACGAAGAGUGAGUGACGGUAAUGGGUAAAGAAGCACCGGCUAACUACGUG
rnacentral:rRNA from 1 species